rnacentral:rRNA from 1 species
UACAGAGGGGGCGAGCGUUGUUCGGAAUUACUGGGCGUAAAGGGCGCGUAGGCGGCCAACUAAGUCAGACGUGAAAUCCCUCGGCUCAACCGGGGAACUGCGUCUGAUACUGGAUGGCUUGAAUUCGGGAGAGGGAUGCGGAAUUCCAGGUGUAGCGGUGAAAUGACGUAGAUAUCUGGAGGAACACCGGUGGCGAAGGCGGUUCUCUGGGAAUUACCUGACGCUGAGGAGCGAAAGCAUGGGGAGCGAACAGG